GGGGUGGGGAUCCCACCAUGGAAGGCCUCACCGCCUUCAGCAGUGAGGAGGAGGUCCUGGAUGGGUACCAGGUCCUCAGGGUCCUCGGCCAGGGCGGUUUUGGGCUGGUGGUCCUGGCCUAUCAUUGGGAAAGCAGGACCCAGGUGGCUGUGAAGGUUGUGGAGAAUGGUGGCCAGCACUCCUGCAGCUUCCAGCAGUUGUGCACAGAAGCAGAAAUAAUGAAGGGGCUGCAUCACCCUCACAUCAUUCAACUACUGCAGGCCAGGCACACCACAGAGAGGGGCUACCUUUUCAUGGAAUACGCAGUCAGGGGGGACCUUAGAUGUUACAUGGUAGAACGAGGGUACCUGCUGGAUGGAGAGAUUCGUCAGCUAUUGAAACAAAUUCUAUCCGCUGUGCAUUACUGCCAUUCGCAGCACGUGGUGCACAGGGAUUUAAAGUUAGAAAACCUGCUUCUCGACGCCCACCUAAACAUUAAGUUGAGCGAUUUUGGUCUCAGCUGCAAACUGGCUGGUGGAGAGCGCCUGAAGAGUCUGUGCGGGACCUUUGCCUACUGUGCGCCCGAGGAAUUCUUAGGUGAGGAGUUCUGCGGGUACAAGGCUGAUGCCUGGAGUGUGGGCGUGAUCCUGUACGCCAUGGUGGCAGGCUCACUGCCUUUCGUUGGAGAGGAUUUUGUGGAGCUGCGGGCAGCCAUCCUGUCUGGAUACUACAGAAUCCCCCACUAUGGAAACCCAGAGCUGUGUAACCUGGUGGACAGCUUACUGACCCGGGACCCUGAGGCCAGGCCCACAGUGGCAGACAUCAUGGGCCACCCCUGGCUCCAUGCAGGACAUGGAGCACCUGGAACCAGUGACGAGUUUCUGUUUCUUCCCCAGGAGCAGGAAGUCUGGGAAUUCCCAUGGGGCCUCUGCCCUCCACUGUGGCUUCAUGAAUGGGAUGACCCCUGGCCCCCUGUGCCACGCUGGGGGAUCUCCCAACAGCAGGGCUUCAGCAUCCCAGAAAUACAUGGGCGGAGCCAAGUGGAGCCUGCAGCACCUCCUCAGGGUCCUGAAGCCCUAAGCUCCCUGGAGGACCUGGGAUUCCAGCUGGGCCAUCAAGCAGGCUCCCUGCCACCCAGGCUCCCAGCCAGUGCCUUGUGCCCAGGACUUCAGCAGGAUCACAGCAAAGGGAAGCCCACGCCUCAGGCCAUCCCUGGUGCUCAGAGCUGUCCCGCUCUCCAGUGCCUCCAGGGACACUCAGGCUGCAACAGCAGAGCCCGUGAGUGUCCCGCUCUUGAAUCCCAACCACUGGUGCUUGCAGGAGACCAGUCGGGGCAGACUCCUUGCCGCCAUGGGACUCCCAGUGUGAGCAGCAGUGAGUCCUGCCGGACAGACAGUCCCCAACGGGCCGUGUGGACAAGGAGCCCCGCUGCCUGUGCAGUCCUCAGCCAGGAUGCUCUGACCUCUCUCUCCACCACACUGAGCACCAACAGCAGUGAGGCUGAUGGAGAAGUCAGGAGCUGCUCCCCGGGUGCCUCAGAGGAGCAGAGCAUCCCAGGAAUGCAGCAGCAGGAGGAGGAGCAGGAGGCAGGGACCACAGACAGGCAGGCCAGAAAGGGCAAGGGGCGCCUGGGGAUUGGCAGGAGGAUCAUCCAAUGCUUCGGCUGGAUGUGUUGUGUCCUGCCAGCCCCAGAGGAAAGCCCUUGAGCCCAGAGAGGAAAGUGGCCUCUCAGUAGCCUCUUGGGAAAUGCCCCCGAGGAGGGGCCCUUCCCUGAGGAGUGAAGCAAUGAAGGGUAGUCAUGGACUCCUGUCUGGGAGGAGGGCAGGUGAGGAGGCAGUAAGAGAAACUGCAGGCAGAGAGGGAAUAUAUAGUGUUACAUUUUUCAGAUGGCCAUCAGGAAACAUGUUUUCAUGGUUAGGGGUCAUUACCUUUUCCUAAGAUAGAGGAACAUGGAGUUGGAUUUUGUUUAGAAUUGAUCCAUGAACAUCACUCCCUAGUUAAACUUCCUGUACCCAGACCUUAUUGGGCCCCUCCCUUAGUCCCCCUUCUGGCUUGCAAGAGUAUGAUUUUCUCACGAAAACCUAUUUUGCUUUUUCUCCCUCACCCUCAUGAUCCGUGUUGGGAUUAUGUGAGAGAAAGAAUUGACUUGAACUUCCUGCAGCAUCGUUGGUGCCGUGACGUGGAGGGACUCAGCUCCAUGGGAAAGGAACACCUGUGCAGCCCCCAAGAGAGCCGGCCGGCGGUGUGCCGCUCCCCCGCGGAAGUGGGGAAUGUGGCAGGGGGAACCGCCCUUCCACGGAGGUGGAAGGGUCGGUAGCCACCCCGGGAAGAACCAGCAGCAAACCCGGGCAGGGCCGAGCAGACAAAAGAACAGCGCAGGGUCCUGUGUCGUUCCUCCAUGAAGACGGGGAGCGACAGUGCCAGCCCUGGAGCAUGAGGAGGGGAACACUGGCCCUGGAGGUGAGGAGGGGAGCAGAGUUUGGCCCUGGAGGGAGGCCAGGGCCGGGCCUGAGGGGAGAAGGGCCCGACCCUGCAGGCUGAGGAGGGGAUUGGGGCCCAGCCCUGGAAUGUGGUGAGGGGAGCAGGGCCUGGCCCUGAAGGACAGCAAUGGGAGCUGGGCCCAGGCCCUGGUGGGCAACUAGGGGAGUGGGGCCCAGGCCCUGGAGGACAAGGAGAGUGGGGCAGCCCUGCUGGGUGUCUAGUGCCACAACUGAAGGGAGCAGGGCCUGGCUCUGUAGGGCAUGGAGAGGAGAAGGAGCCCAGCCCCAGAGGGUUGCCAGGGCCCUGCCUGAGGGGAUCAUGGCUCUGGAGGGCAAGGAGGAGAGUGGGGCAUGUCACUGAAGCAUGGCCAGGGCCCUGCCUGUGCUCUGGAGCCUAUGUCCUGUGGCCUGUGACCUGUGUCCUGAAAUCUGUCCUGUGUCCUGUAGCCUGAGUCCUUUCGCCUGUGUUCUAUGUUGUGUAGCCUGUAUCUUGUAGCCUGUGUGUUGUGUUGUAGGCGUGUGUCCUGUGGCCUGUAUCCUGUGUCCUAUGUUCUACAGCCUGUGUCCUGUAGCCUGUGUCCUGUGUCCUGUUUUGUGGCUAGUGUGUGUGUCCUGUGGCUUCUGUCUUCUUUCCUAUAACUUGUGACCUAUAGCUUGUCCUAUAGAGUGUAGCUUGUGUGCUGUAGCCUGUGUCCUCUAUCCUGUGUCCUAUGUCCAUUAGCCUUUUCAUGUGGCCUGUGUCCUUGUCCUGUAGACAGUGUCCCAUUGCCUGUGUCCUAUAGCAUGUGUCCUAUAGCCUGUGUCCUUUGUCCUGUAGCCUGUGUCCACUGGCCUGUUUCUUUCUGCAUGUGUCCUGUGGCCUAUGUCCUGUGUCCAGUGUAGUGUUGCCUCUGUCCUCUAGCUGGUGUCCUGUGUCUUGUUCCCUCUGUCCUUUAGCCUGUGUCAUGUUGCCUGUGUCUUGUGUCCUGUAGCUUAUUUCCUGUGGCCCAUAUCCUGUGUCUUGUGUCCUGUAGCCUGUGUCUUAUGUCCUGUGUUCAGUGUCCUGUAGCCUUUGUAUUAUGUCUGAUAGUCUGUUUCCUCUGUCCUUUGUCCUAUAGGUUAUAUCCUAUCCUCUGUGUCCCAUGUCUUGUAUCCUGUGAUCUGUGUUCUGUAGCUGUGUCAUGUGUUCCAUAUUCUGUGUCCUGUAGCCUCAGUCCUGUGUCCCGUGUCCUAUGUUGUGUAGCCUGUGUCCAGUGUCUUGUAGCCUGUGGCCUAUGUAUGCAACCUGUGUCCUGUGGUCUCUGUCCUCUAGCUGGUGUCCUAUGUCCCCUAGCCUGUGUCCCGUGUAUUGAGCCUGUGUCCUGAGCCUGUGUCGAGUGUCCUGUAGUCUGUGUCCUGAGCCUGUGUCGUGUGUCCUAUAGCCUGUGGCCUGUAGUCUUUGUCCUAGAGCUGGUGUCUCUUUGUAGUAGCCAGUGUCCUGUGUACUGAAGCCGGUUUCUUGUAGCCUGUGACAAUGUCCUGUAUUCUGUGUCCUGUAGCCUGUAGCCUGUGCCCUGUGCUCUGGAUCCUAGCUCCUGUGGCCUGUGGCCUCUGUCUUGUCUUGUGUAGCCUGUGUCCUGUAGUCCGUGGCCUAUGUCCUGCAGCUGUGGCCUUUGUCCUGUGUCCACUGUGCUGUAUGCUGUUGUGCAGGAUAUUGGAUGUAGGCUACAGAACACAGGUUACAGGACACAAGACAGAGGCCCAAAGCAAAGGCCACAGUCUACAGGAUUCAGGGCAUAGGGCAGUGGACACAGGACACAGGAUAGAGGACACAGAAUACAGAACCCAUGACACAGGCUAGAACACAGGCUAUGUGACAUAGGUUGCACGCUACAGAACACAGGAUCCAGGAGAAAGGACACAGGCUACAGAACACAGGCUACAGGACAUAGGACACAGGAUACAGGGCACAGAAGAGAGGCUACAAGACACAGACUAUGGGACACAGGACACAGGCUAUGGGACACAGGACACAGGACAUAAGAUACAGGCUAUGGGACACAAGACACAGGACAAGGCCACAGGACACAGAACACAGGACAUAAGACACAGGCUAUGGGACACAGGACACAGGCUACAGGACACAGAGCACAGGACAUUAGACACAGGCUAUGGGACACAGGACACAGGCUACAGGACACAGAACACAGGACAUAAGACACAGGCUAUGGGACACAAGACACAGGACAUAGGCCACAGGACACAGGACAUAGGACACAAGACACAUACUACAGGACAUUGUCCACAGGUACAAGACACCGGCUUCAGUAUACAGUACACAGGCUACAGCAGAGAGGAAGUCAGCCCUAGGACAAAGACUACAGGCCACAGCUCAGGACACAGGACACUGGCUCAGGACACAGGACACCAGCUAGACGACAGAGGCCACAGAACACAGGUUGGAUACAUAGGCUUGAGGCUACAAGACAUAGGACACAGGCUACACAA